AUGAAACUCAAAGGAAUUGACGGGGACCCGCACAAGCGGUGGAGCAUGUGGUUUAAUUCGAGGCAACGCGAAGAACCUUACCCAGCCUUGACAUCCCGGCGAGAACUGGGCAAUGCCCGUUGCCCUUCGGGGCGCCGGAGACAGGUGGUGCAUGGUUGUCGUCAGCUCGUGUCGUGAGAUGUUGGGUCAAGUCCCGCAACGAGCGCAACCCCUGCCCCCAGUAGCCAGCACGUAGAGGCGGGCACUCUGGGGGGACUGCCGGGGACAACCCGGAGGAAGGCGGGGACGACGUCAAAUCAUCAUGCCCCUUACGGCUGGGGCUACACACGUGCUACAAUGGGGCCGACAGAGGGAGGCGGACGCGCGAGCGCGAGCGGACCCCAAAAACGGCCCCCCAGUUCGGAUUGCAGCCUGCAACUCGGCUGCAUGAAGCCGGAAUCGCUAGUAAUCGCGGAUCAGAACGCCGCGGUGAAUACGUUCCCGGGUCUUGUACACACCGCCCGUCACACCAUGGGAGCCUGGAAUGCCC
rnacentral:rRNA from 1 species